rnacentral:rRNA from 1 species
UACGAAGGGGGCUAGCGUUGUUCGGAAUUACUGGGCGUAAAGCGCACGUAGGCGGAUAGUUAAGUUAGGGGUGAAAUCCCGGGGCUCAACCCCGGAACUGCCUUUAAUACUGGGUAUCUCGAGUUCGAGAGAGGUGAGUGGAAUUCCGAGUGUAGAGGUGAAAUUCGUAGAUAUUCGGAGGAACACCAGUGGCGAAGGCGGCUCACUGGCUCGAUACUGACGCUGAGGUGCGAAAGCGUGGGGAGCAAACAGG